rnacentral:rRNA from 1 species
AGGACGAACGCUGGCGGCGUGCUUAACACAUGCAAGUCGAGCGAGGCCCUUCCUUCGGGAAGGUGCCCUAGCGGCGAACGGGUGAGUAACACGUGGGCAACCUGCCCCUAGCACUGGGAUAACUCCGGGAAACCGGGGCUAAUACCGGAUAUGACCUUUGAGGGCAUCCUCGAAGGUGUAAAGGAUUCUGGCUAGGGAUGGGCCCGCGGCCUAUCAGCUUGUUGGUGGGGUAACGGCCUACCAAGGCGACGACGGGUA